GUAGCUGGUCUGAGAGGAUGGACAGCCACACUGGGACUGAGACACGGCCCAGACUCCUACGGGAGGCAGCAGUGGGGAAUAUUGGACAAUGGGGGCAACCCUGAUCCAGCGAUGCCGCGUGUGUGAAGAAGGCCUGAGGGUUGUAAAGCACUUUCAGUAGGGAGGAGAGUUGAUUGGUUAAGAGCUGAUUGAUGAGACGUUACCUACAGAAGAAGCACCGGCUAACUCCGUGCCAGCAGCCGCGGUAAUACGGAGGGUGCGAGCGUUAAUCGGAAUUAUUGGGCGUAAAGGGUGCGUAGGUGGUUGWAUAAGUUAUCUGUGAAAACCCUGGGCUUAACCUGGGGAAGASAGAUAAGACUGUUUAACUAGAGUAUGG
rnacentral:rRNA from 1 species